rnacentral:snRNA from 1 species
UGAUACAGGUAAGAUUAGCAUGGCCCAUGAAAAGGAUGGCAUGCAAAUUAGAGAAACAUUCCAUGUUUCA